rnacentral:rRNA from 1 species
UACGUAGGGUGCAAGCGUUGUCCGGAAUCAUUGGGCGUAAAGCGCGCGUAGGCGGCCCGAUAAGUCCGCUGUAAAAGUCAACGGCUCAACUGUUGAAAGCCGGUGGAUACUGUCGGGCUAGAGUACGGAAGAGGCAAGUGGAAUUCCUGGUGUAGCGGUGAAAUGCGCAGAUAUCAGGAAGAACACCAGCGGCGAAGGCGGCGCUCUGGGCCGGAACUGACGCUGAGGAGCGAAAGCGUGGGUAGCAAACAGG